CCGGCGCCACCUGCUGGAGACCCAGCGCGGGCAGGAGCAGGCGGGGGCGGAGCCGGAUUAUUUCCCGGAUUCAUGCCCCAGUCAGAGCUGCCUCCUGCUGGCCAAGAUCCAGGAGGUGAAUCUCGGGCUGCGAAACCUACUGGCCAGUCCUGGAAAGGCUGACCCUCCCCCCUGCUUCCCCUUCAGCCCGUUUGGGGCCCCCCUCUUCCAAACGGGGAAGCAGCAGGAAUUUCAGCAGCAAGCCGUGAACGUGCUGAAGGAGCAGAACCGCCUGCUCAUCAAGGUACGGUGGUGCUCAUGGGCCCAGGAGGGGGAAUUCAGGACUUGGAAAAUGGCAGCAGAGAAGGGUUCAAGAUGGCUGACUCUGCAAAGUCCACCCCGCCUUCUGCA
rnacentral:lncRNA from 1 species